rnacentral:rRNA from 1 species
GAGAACCUGCACACAGGUGCUGCAUGGCUGUCGUCAGCUCGUGUCGUGAGAUGUUGGGUUAAGUCCCGCAACGAGCGCAACCCUUGCCAUUAGUUGCUACGAAAGGGCACUCUAAUGGGACUGCCGGUGACAAACCGGAGGAAGUGGGGAUGACGUCAAGUCCUCAUGGCCCUUAUAGGUGGGGCUACACACGUCAUACAAUGGCCGGUACAGAGGGUAGCCAACCCGCGAGGGGGAGCCAAUCCCACAAAGCCGGUCGUAGUCCGGAUCGCAGUCUGCAACUCGACUGCGUGAAGUCGGAAUCGCUAGUAAUCGCGGAUCAGCAUGUCGCGGUGAAUACGUUCCCGGGUCUU